rnacentral:lncRNA from 1 species
UAAAUAAGAAGCUGGAAUAGCUCAGUUGGUUAGUGUGUGUGGCUCUAACCACAAGGUCAGAGGUUCAACCCUUCCUUUUAGCGACUUUUCAUUUUUUUUGUAUUUAUUUUUCUUCUAAUAUUUUUUUGUUUUAUUUUUCUUCAUAUACUAUUUUAAGGCUUGUUGUUAAUGACUGAUAGGUGAUAGCUUAUAGCUGAAAAACUCGCUUAUUAAAAAUAAUGUGUUUGGCAAAUUAACUUUUGAAGUGGUUGAUAAGUAUGAAAUGACAUC